CUUUAUUUCAUAUCCAGGAGGAAUGUAUCUGCGGCUUACAUAUCCAAAUUGAGGACGAACCAAAAGAAUAAAGCCAAGGAGAAAUCCUGAAAUGAAUCCUCCAAUAUGAGCUGAAUUGUCCACACCAGAUAACAAGCUUCCACCAAAACCAGCAAGCAGGUACAAGACUCCAAUUCUCACUGCCAAAUUCCAAGAAGUUGAAAAAUCAGCUAAGGUAGACAGUCAAAAACUGAUUAGACAAUAGUCAGAUUAUACUAACCAAAUCCAAAUUCCUGCUCAAGCCGGAUUCCAAUGAAUAGAAGACUCAACAUGUUGGUAGCUAAAUGCACAACUCCAGCAUGAAGCCACAUGCAAGACAAGAGCCUCCAUCCUUCACCUCCCUCCACCACUGAUUUCUUUUCAAGCCCUCCUAGUUUUAUCAGCCUGUAUAUAUAAUCAAGUUUGUAGCAGUUUGGAUGAUAUUCAACAUUAGAUUAGCAGAUAUAUCCUAUAAGCCCUAGCUUACAUUAUUCUAAUUAAGAGGCUUGACCUGAAUUAUUAGCUUGCAA